rnacentral:rRNA from 1 species
GACAGAGGGGGCAAGCGUUGCUCGGAAUCACUGGGCGUAAAGGGCGCGUAGGCGGGAUGGCAAGUCGGUCGUGAAAUCCCUGGGCUCAACUCAGGGGGGUCGGCCGAUACUGCUGUUCUUGAGGGAUGCAGAAGAGACUGGAAUUCCCGGUGUAGCGGUGAAAUGUGUAGAGAUCGGGAGGAACACCGGUGGCGAAGGCGGGUCUCUGGGCAUUCCCUGACGCUGAGGCGCGAAAGCGUGGGGAGCAAACGGG